UUGGAGGUUUUGCAAAACCAUUAGCAUGAGCUCAUGGCUUACGUGAUUCCUCUCCUCAAAACUCCCUAUAAAUACUCAUGAAACCUGGCCAUAAAACUCACCCAACCAAGCACCAAGUCACAGAAAAAUAAGCACAAGAAAUUAGCUAUAAUUCCCGUAACUAUCCCCUGUUUUCGCGCAUCACCACCACCGUCACCACCGCGGCUCUGCCGCCGGCCAACCUGAUACAACCACCCUCAAUAUUUUCUGUUAUCCACCCCUGGAAUAUGCUCAUUCACUACUCACAAAUAUCAAGCUCGAAUUGUAGCAUUCCAUUGCCGAAACCGAACAUUAACUCACGCACAACCUCUUUUCUCUCUCUCCAUUGACGCGGACCACCACCGCCCAAACCACCGGCGAAAACCUUAUCCGACCACCUGACCACCUCCCUGUUGCCGCCUUGUGCUUCCUCUGCUUUCGUGGGUCAUACGAGUCAUACCCAGUUGCUGCCUUCCUUCCUCCUUCCUUUUCUCUUGGUUCGUGUUCUGUUCAUGAAGACCAAGUUUGGUCUUUCAACUUCCUAAAUUUUUGGAACUAGUGGGCCUAUAUUCUAAGUCAAAAGGUCAAACCCAAUAACAAUCAAGAAAGCCAAGUUGGACGAAUAUUCAAUUUUGGAGCUCAGGAAGAACGGCCCAUCGAACGGGAAGUAUAAAAUUACGGUUGAGGUACGAAGAAGAUCAUGGGAUGCCUUAGAGUGAGGAUGCAACCACCAAAUUCAUGAUCGAUGUUUAGUAAAGAUAACUAUGUCUCACUAGUAAUAAUGGAUGCAUUAAUUAAACUCUAAGUUUAAUUUCAAGAAUUGAGUUAGACUUUUAUAUUAAUAUUUAAUCAAUGAUAGAAGUAUUUCGUUAUUAAA